CGGCAUCGGGCCCCGCCCCCAGCCUCUGGUUGAGCGAAUCAGGAGCGGGCUCCCUUAGGUUCCACCCAGAAGAUCCCUCCCAAACUAGACUCCCCAGGGCCAGUCCCUGGUCAAUUUCAGGGAUCAGUUUCCUCCCUAACCUACAGCUCAACAAGGCACGGGGAAGGGGGAGGGGGUGUCACCCUCAAUUAGACUUUCUCCCACUGAACACCAACCUUUACGGUGCCCCAAUCCCAACGCGGAUCUGAUCCAUCUCUGAACACCCCCAUACCCGGUAGACCGGGGUCCCUGCUGCGGCUUGGAUCAGGAUCCCAUUGCACCCCGCCCAGUGCCCUCAGAGGAACCUCACCCAGGAUACUCCUCCCGACCCUUCGAGGAUGAGAUUGAUCCCUCAGAGACCCCCAGAUCCCCCAGAGAGUCCUUGGAGGGACACUCCUCAGAACCUUGAGCCCACUCUCAACCAGGCCCAGAACUGCCAGCGCCGCGCAUGCUCGGGAGGCGACGCUGACGGACGCGCACGGUGACUGGAGACAGAGCGCCCCCACCCGCCCGGAGAACCGAGAAAGCGCGAAGUCCUCCAUCUGGUGGCCAAGCGGAGGAAUUGCACCCUCCACCUACUGGGACAUCCUCCAGGGGAGAGAAAGGUUCAAGAGCUGCCAAAUCAAAAACACAGGUGUGCUCGUGUCACCUCAAGAAUCUUCAGUGGCUCCCUCCUUCCACAAGGAAAAAGUGCAAGCUUGUUCGAGUGGCUUGGAAAACCCUUCCCAGUCUGGUCCCCGGCAUUCCAACAACAUGAUUCUGAGAAGGGGUUC